GAUGAACGCUGGCGGCGUGCCUAAUACAUGCAAGUCGAGCGAACAGAUGAGGAGCUUGCUCCUCUGACGUUAGCGGCGGACGGGUGAGUAACACGUGGAUAACCUACCUAUAAGACUGGGAUAACUUCGGGAAACCGGAGCUAAUACCGGAUAAUAUAUUGAACCGCAUGGUUCAAUAGUGAAAGACGGUUUUGCUGUCACUUAUAGAUGGAUCCGCGCCGCAUUAGCUAGUUGGUAAGGUAACGGCUUACCAAGGCAACGAUGCGUAGCCGACCUGAGAGGUGGAUCGGCCACACGGAAACUGAGACACGUUCCAGACCCCAACGGAAGGCAGCAUGAGGGAAUCUUCCGAAAGGGGCGAAAGCCUGACGGAGCAACGCCGCUGAAGUGAGGAAGUUCUGCGGAUCGUAAAACCCUGUUAUUAGGAAAGAACAAAUGUGUAAGUAACGAUGCACGUCUGAACGUAACCUAAGCAGAAAGCCACGGCAACCUCCUG
rnacentral:rRNA from 1 species